rnacentral:lncRNA from 1 species
UCAAAUUCGGCUUGAAAUUAAUUUCGAGCCUAAAUCUAGGCUCAAGCUCGGCUUGAAAUUAAUUCGAGCCGAGCUCGAGCGAGCCUAAUUUCGAGUCGAGCCGAGCUCGAGCUCUAAACGAGCCGAUUGAAAUUCUCGACAUUAUAUAAUCAAUAGUUUAAUUUUUAUAGAAUAUUACCUACAAUUUGAUGCAACAUGUCCAAUAGUUCAAAAUACAAAAUAAUUGUAAGAAAUGUGAGCUAGGGUGACUGCCUGACUGGGUGAGGGUCAGAGAGAGAGAGAGAGGGAAAAAAAUUAGAGAUUUGGGAAUUUGAAUGUUAUUAUGUUUUAGGGUUAUGUGCAAUAGUGAAAGUCUGAAAGAGAGAGUGUGUUAUGUAAAUUUAGAGUUGGGCUCAAUUGCACGGUUGUACUUGUUGGGUUUAUUUUAUGGGCCAACAAUAAUGGCCCAAAUUAAAUUAAAGCCAAUAUAAUUAAAAUACAUUAUAUUUAUAAAUAUUAUAUAUAUAUAUAUUUUCGAGCUUUCGAGCUUUUCGAGCCUAAUUUGAACGAGCCGAGUAAUACUCAAGCUCGGCUUGAAAUGAAUUUCGAGCCUUUUAUUUUGUUCAAGCUCGGCUCAUUUAAUUUCGAGUCGAGCUCG